rnacentral:rRNA from 1 species
UACGAAGGGGGGCUAGCGUUGCUCGGAAUUACUGGGCGUAAAGGGCGCGUAGGCGGAUAGUUUAGUCAGAGGUGAAAGCCCAGGGCUCAACCUUGGAGUUGCCUUUGAUACUGGCUAUCUUGAGUACGGGAGAGGUGUGUGGAACUCCGAGUGUAGAGGUGAAAUUCGUAGAUAUCGGGAGGAACACCGGUGGCGAAGGCGGCGACCUGGGUAGAUACUGACGCUGAGGUGCGAAAGCGUGGGGGAGCAAACAGG